AACGAACGCUGGCGGCGUGGAUAAGACAUGCAAGUCGAACGGGAUUACUGGUGUAGCAAUACAUCAGUGGUCUAGUGGCGUAAGGGUGCGUAACACGUGGGCAAUCUGCCGAGAAGUGGGGGAUAGCUCGCCGAAAGGCGAAUUAAUACCGCAUGUGGUUAGUGUUGGAUUCAACACGACACCAAAGCCGGGGCAACCUGGCGCUUCUUGAUGAGCCCGCGGCCUAUCAGCUAGUUGGUGAGGUAACGGCUCACCAAGGCUAUGACGGGUAGCUGGUCUGAGAGGACGACCAGCCACACUGGAACUGAGACACGGUCCAGACACCUACGGGUGGCAGCAGUCGAGAAUUUUUCUCAAUGGGGAAACCCUGAAGGAGCGACGCCGCGUGGAGGAUGAAGGUCUUCGGAUUGUAAACUCCUGUCAUUCGAGAAC
rnacentral:rRNA from 1 species